UACCAUGCAGUCGAACGGCAGCAUAGGAGCUUGCUCCUGAUGGCGAGUGGCGAACGGGUGAGUAAUAUAUCGGAACGUGCCCUAGAGUGGGGGAUAACUAGUCGAAAGACUAGCUAAUACCGCAUACGAUCUACGGAUGAAAGUGGGGGAUCGCAAGACCUCAUGCUCCUGGAGCGGCCGAUAUCUGAUUAGCUAGUUGGUGGGGUAAAAGCCUACCAAGGCAACGAUCAGUAGCUGGUCUGAGAGGACGACCAGCCACACUGGGACUGAGACACGGCCCAGACUCCUACGGGAGGCAGCAGUGGGGAAUUUUGGACAAUGGGGGCAACCCUGAUCCAGCAAUGCCGCGUGAGUGAAGAAGGCCUUCGGGUUGUAAAGCUCUUUUGUCAGGGAAGAAACGGUAGUAGCGAAUAACUAUUACUAAUGACGGUACCUGAAGAAUAAGCACCGGCUAACUACGUGCCAGCAGCCGCGGUAAUACGUAGGGUGCAAGCGUUAAUCGGAAUUACUGGGCGUAAAGCGUGCGCAGGCGGUUGUGUAAGUCAGAUGUGAAAUCCCCGGGCUCAACCUGGGAAUUGCAUUUGAGACUGCACGGCUAGAGUGUGUCAGAGGGGGGUAGAAUUCCACGUGUAGCAGUGAAAUGCGUAGAUAUGUGGAGGAAUACCGAUGGCGAAGGCAGCCCCCUGGGAUAACACUGACGCUCAUG
rnacentral:rRNA from 1 species